ACGAACGCUGGCGGCGUGCUUAACACAUGCAAGUCGAACGAUGAAGCCUUUCGGGGUGGAUUAGUGGCGAACGGGUGAGUAACACGUGGGCAAUCUGCCCUUCACUCUGGGACAAGCCCUGGAAACGGGGUCUAAUACCGGAUAACACUCUGUCCCGCAUGGGACGGGGUUAAAAGCUCCGGCGGUGAAGGAUGAGCCCGCGGCCUAUCAGCUUGUUGGUGGGGUAAUGGCCUACCAAGGCGACGACGGGUAGCCGGCCUGAGAGGGCGACCGGCCACACUGGGACUGAGACACGGCCCAGACUCCUACGGGAGGCAGCAGUGGGGAAUAUUGCACAAUGGGCGAAAGCCUGAUGCAGCGACGCCGCGUGAGGGAUGACGGCCUUCGGGUUGUAAACCUCUUUCAGCAGGGAAGAAGCGAAAGUGACGGUACCUGCAGAAGAAGCGCCGGCUAACUACGUGCCAGCAGCCGCGGUAAUACGUAGGGCGCAAGCGUUGUCCGGAAUUAUUGGGCGUAAAGAGCUCGUAGGCGGCUUGUCACGUCGGAUGUGAAAGCCCGGGGCUUAACCCCGGGUCUGCAUUCGAUACGGGCUAGCUAGAGUGUGGUAGGGGAGAUCGGAAUUCCUGGUGUAGCGGUGAAAUGCGCAGAUA
rnacentral:rRNA from 1 species